ACUCCUACGGGAGGCAGCAGUAGGGAAUCUUCCACAAUGGGCGCAAGCCUGAUGGAGCAACACCGCGUGAGUGAAGAAGGGUUUCGGCUCGUAAAGCUCUGUUGUUAAAGAAGAACACGUAUGAGAGUAACUGUUCAUACGUUGACGGUAUUUAACCAGAAAGUCACGGCUAACUACGUGCCAGCAGCCGCGGUAAUACGUAGGUGGCAAGCGUUAUCCGGAUUUAUUGGGCGUAAAGAGAGUGCAGGCGGUUUUCUAAGUCUGAUGUGAAAGCCUUCGGCUUAACCGGAGAAGUGCAUCGGAAACUGGAUAACUUGAGUGCAGAAGAGGGUAGUGGAACUCCAUGUGUAGCGGUGGAAUGCGUAGAUAUAUGGAAGAACACCAGUGGCGAAGGCGGCUACCUGGUCUGCAACUGACGCUGAGACUCGAAAGCAUGGGUAGCGAACA
rnacentral:rRNA from 1 species